rnacentral:rRNA from 1 species
CGNGCGNUGUCUUAACACAUGCAAGUCGAACGCGAAAGGGACUUCGGUCCUGAGUAAAGUGGCGCACGGGUGAGUAACGCGUGGAUAAUCUACCCAAUGAUCUGGGAUAACAUCUCGAAAGAGGUGCUAAUACCGGAUAAGACCACGAAGUCUUAGGACUUUGCGGUAAAAGGUGGGGACCUUCGGGCCUACCGUCAUCGGAUGAGUCCGCGUACCAUUAGCUAGUUGGUGGGGUAAUGGCCUACCAAGGCUACGAUGGUUAGCUGGUCUGAGAGGAUGAUCAGCCACACUGGAACUGAGACACGGUCCAGACUCCUACGGGAGGCAGCAGUGGGGAAUUUUGCGCAAUGGGGGAAACCCUGACGCAGCAACGCCGCGUGAGUGAUGAAGGCUUUCGGGUCGUAAAGCUCUGUCAGAGGGGAAGAAAUGCAUUGGUGCUAAUAUCAUCUUUGCUUGACGGUACCCUCAAAGGAAGCACCGGCUAGCUCCGUGCCAGCAGCCGCGGUAAUACGGAGGGUGCGAGCGUUGUUCGGAAUUAUUGGGGCGUAAAGCGCGUGUAGGCGGUCUUUUAAGUCUGAUGUGAAANCCCCGGGGCUCAACCCGGGAAGUGCAUUGGAAACUGGGAGACUUGAAUACGGGAGANGGUANUGGANUCCUANUGUAGGANUGAAUCCGUAAAUUUUAGGAGGAAACGGUNGCGAAGGGGCUACUNGNCCGAUAUUGACCUNAAACCNAAAGGUGGNUANAAAANGAUNAAUACCUGGUANUCACCCNUAACAAAAAUAAANGUUUGCGGUAUG